GAUGAACGCUGGCGGCGUGCCUAAUACAUGCAAGUCGAGCGAACGGACGAGAAGCUUGCUUCUCUGAUGUUAGCGGCGGACGGGUGAGUAACACGUGGAUAACCUACCUAUCAGACUGGGAUAACUUCGGGAAACCGGAGCUAAUACCGGAUGAUAUUUUGAACCGCAUGGUUCAAAAGUGAAAGACGGUCUUGCUGUCACUUAUAGAUGGAUCCGCGCUGCAUUAGCUAGUUGGUAAGGUAACGGCUUACCAAGGCAACGAUGCAUAGCCGACCUGAGAGGGUGAUCGGCCACACUGGAACUGAGACACGGUCCAGACUCCUACGGGAGGCAGCAGUAGGGAAUCUUGCGCAAUGGGCGAAAGCCUGACGGAGCAACGCCGCGUGAGUGAUGAAGGUCUUCGGAUCGUAAAACCCUGUUAUUAGGGAAGAACAUUUGUGUAAGUAACUGUGCACAUCUUGACGGUACCUAAUCAGAAAGCCACGGCUAACUACGUG
rnacentral:rRNA from 1 species